ACCUGUAUCGAAAGGUGAUCGUGGCGUCCUCGUAGCCCGGUCAUUUAAAAACUACAGGGAGAUAAACCUGCAAGCCUUUCCCGUGUUUGAAGGACUGUCCGUUCCUGUCAGACCCUGGUGCUGUCAGACA
ensembl:snoRNA SNORA71 Small nucleolar RNA SNORA71